AGCGAACGCUGGCGGCAGGCUUAACACAUGCAAGUCGAGCGCCCCGCAAGGGGAGCGGCAGACGGGUGAGUAACACGUGGGGAUCUGCCCGAUGGUACGGAAUAGCUCCGGGAAACUGGAAUUAAUACCGUAUGAGCCCGCAAGGGGAAAGAUUUAUCGCCAUCGGAUGAACCCGCGUCGGAUUAGCUAGGUGGUACGGUAAAGGCGCACCAAGGCGACGAUCCGUAGCUGGGCGGCGAGGAUGAACAGCCACACUGAGACUGAGACACGGCCCAGCCUCCUACGGGAGGCAGCAGUGGGGAAUAUUGGACAAGGGGCGCAAGCUUGAUCCAGCCAUGCCGCGUGAGUGAUGAAGGCCUUAGGGUUGUAAAGCUCUUUCGCCGACGAAGAUAAUGACGGUAGUCGGAGAAGAAGCCCCGGCUAACUUCGUGCCAGCCGCCGCGGUAAGAC
rnacentral:rRNA from 1 species